rnacentral:rRNA from 1 species
UACAGAGGGUGCGAGCGUUGUCCGGAAUCACUGGGCGUAAAGGGCGCGUAGGUGGCUUGGUAAGCGUGUGGUGAAAGCUCGGGGCUCAACCCCGAGUCUGCCAUGCGAACUGCCGAGCUCGAGCAUGGUAGAGGCAGGUGGAAUUCCGGGUGUAGCGGUGGAAUGCGUAGAUAUCCGGAAGAACACCGGUGGCGAAGGCGGCCUGCUGGGCCAUUGCUGACACUGAGGCGCGACAGCGUGGGGAGCAAACAGG